rnacentral:lncRNA from 1 species
UCCGCGACUUCCAGAGAGUUGCUUAAGAGUAGGAGUGAUAGAUGACAGGCUCAAGCUAACAAGUAAGAGUAAAGGUAAGUAGCUGAAGAACGAAAAGCACUAUUUGGAGUUUGGUAGCUGGGGAAGUUAGGCUUGUGGACUGACUUUACUGGUUCAAUUCUGAUAAGUAGUAUUCAUAUUCUUUAUUUCGACUAUGAGUAUUAUAGUUACGCAUCGAUAUCUCUCUUUCUAUUAUUAUUAUUAUUAUUAGAAUAUAUGCAGUUAACCAAUACACCAAUGAAUGGGUGGCCAAAGAGUAGGUACGCCUUGCUAGCUGUGGUUUCGAGCUGAUAGUUAGCAGUGUAAUUCACAGUUCCGAGUUCACGUAUUGGUAGUAGCGAUAUAAGCUCGAAGCGUAUAAGAGGAGGUAGGCUCUGUUGGUGGAGUAGGUCUUCUAAGCAGUAGGCUCAUUCUGCUAGGUAGUAGUGGAUUUCUUGUUGACAUGAAUGAAAGUACUAGAGGCAUUAGUCAAAGAACUCAAGUAAGUAGCAGCAGCCUUGUUAGUAGUUCUAUCAGGUUCGUUAUCCGUGUGUAGAUUCCCAGUUUGUAGUUGUUCCACCCAUAUUAGUAGUUAGCUAAGCCCUAUUCCUCUGUUUAGUCUUAGAGCUCCAUAUUAGUAUUUGUUGGCUCCCCGUGGUAUCCUUUCUUUUAUUGGGCAUGGUCAAAGAUUUCAUUCCUUGUUUGCUACUUUUAUUCUAAUUGACUACCCCGCCCUCCGAUAACUAUAAUAGAGCUGUUGUGGAUAAGUAGCCUCAAAAAGUCUUAGACACACCGUGUUGAGUUCUUAUUAUUACGUGCAUCCACUCCGCAAAUUCCGAUACUCGUGGUUAAUUACCCUAAACUAAACUAGCUGUGCAUACUAGUAAGUCUGAUACUUGAACGACUUUCACUCUUGAUUCUUUGGAUUCUUCUACCUAUUUGUUUGAUUAUUCCUUUCUACAUACUACCCGCCCUGCUACUUAUUACGUAUACUUAUGUUAUGAGUGAAAUUCUGUGACUAUAAUACGAGUUGCUGCCUUAGGCCACUAAGAUCAAUUCUCAUAGUCAUAGUGGAUUUCCAGUUGAUAGUUCAAAAGCACUACCCCGGUGUAACAUUCCUAUUCUUAUUGGCUUUAUUCCUAUUCUGAUUAGUAUUAUGCACUAGGUGCUCGUACCACCAAGACACUACAACAAAGGCAACUGGAAGAAUCCAAACCAAUAAUGAGGACUAUCCCCGGGUACACUGACUUAAUCUCCCUUGCCCAUCUGUCCUCUGGCUACGAAUACUUAGAAUAGGGGUGACUCGGGUAGCCCAUAGCUUUAUUGCGAAUACUUAGAAUAGAGAAUGGACUUAGCACCGGAGCAACUUGAUCCAUCGUUCCAUUGAAAAGAUCAAAAGUGUAGCGGUAGUGGUCUCGAUGACACGGCACAAACAAGAAACUAGUAAACUACUGAUCUUUGGAAUCUGAUAAUGAUCCUUGCUGCUGACUCGCUAUAUGAUUCAACACACUGCUUUGGCUUCCUUUCUUUCUUUCCCUAGCUACUUUCCUAGACUUAACGAGCACUGACACUAGAGCACUUAAACAAAACUUGGAAGAAUUGAUCUGGUCUAAGCAGACUACUUAUUAGGUCUAGGACAACUGGGAUUCUAGCCGGUAGUAGCUUGUCUCUUCCUUUUUGGUUGCAUUCUUUCAUUUUUCCGUUUUCUUCUUAUUAGUACUCGUUUCAUUCUUCCUUUUUUCAUCAAGGUUCAAUUCAGAGUUUCUUGUUCAAUUAUUACACGGAGCACCCGGCACUAGAUCGUGCACCCCCUAUUCUUAUUAGAUACUUUACUCUAACUGGAACUGGCAAUUCCACACUUCACCCAUUCUUAAAGGAAGGAAAGGAGCACUAGGUUUGCUCUGAGUGGGCCAAUUCUGACUUCCGAGUUUUCUUCUGACUUUCUUUUGAGUUUCACUAGGUUUACGAGAAAGAGCUAUAGGGUGGUUAGUGACUUCUUUUCUUCUAUUUAUCAGAAAGGGAUAUGACUGAAUGAACACUUAUAACUAAUACUAAUCAUAAGGGAGCAAUUCCAGUUUCCUUUUUUGGUAAACUGGGCUCCUCCUCUUAUAGGGAAAGCUGUUGUCAGUCAAUCAGGCAAAGGUAAAGCCAAGCACGCAAAGUCCAAGGACAAGUCCUGUUUCUUACAGUCAGCAGUGAAGAAGCUAGGGCAAAAGAUCUAGUUUUGGAGUGAAGUGAGCGGUGAGGAAUUUCUAGUGUGAGUUUAGCAAGUGAAGGUUCCUUUAUUCGUCAGAGUUUUGAGUUUAGCAAGUUAGGUUCCUUUAUUCGUCAGAGUUUUGAGUUUAGCAAGUUAUAGGUUCCUUUAUUCUAUAUUGAUGAUCGCCCAUAUUCCAUAUUCUUCUAGAUAUAUUCCAUUUGAUACUGAGAUAAGUCUUUUCAACAAGCAAGCAAAGGGUAGUGUUCCAGCCAAGGGGAAUAAACCAAGUAAAGGAAGAAACUAGUGCCCAAAGAGAGUAGUGGGUGUUAGGUUCCCGCACUCCCAGUUUAGAGUAAGCAGUCUGGUUCCGCACACGUAGCUUGUUCCCCGAGAGUUAUAUGUGAGUAAGCAGUUAGGUUACCCCUAAUUAUAUCAUGUGAACACUAUAUUCAACGAUUUCUUCUAUUUGAUCAAUUAUAUUAUUUCGAGAUAUAGAUUAUUUGAAAUGGAAUUCCAUAAGUGAGCGCACUAAUUAGCUAGUUUAGGAGUAAUGAGAACGAAGGUCUUUCGAAAGUAAAGGUACCGCUAACUCUUUCACUAUAGGAAGCAAAAGGGAUGCUAUUUGUUGAAUCAAAUCCAUACUAUGCACACGCUAAAUAACUAUGAAUGGAACAAGCAAUGCAAGGGGGAACUAAAGGGUAGAAACAAACAACAAACAAUGCAAGGUCGAACUCAAUAGGUUAAACGACUCUAACUCUUUCUGGCUUCUUCAGCCUUUCCCCGGCUUUAGUUAGCUUUGGAGUAAUAAGUGAGUUUCCAGUGUUGUUACAAUAUGAUUAAGUUAAGCAUCAUACGUGCACUCAAUUAAAAGAACUCGCUUCCGCCCACAAUGACACUCGAACAGAACUAUAACUCGUUGUAAACUCUACUACUUUGAGCUACUGCACCGACACAAGAACAGAAAGAUGAUGCAACACCUGCUUUGCUUACACCUUUUCCCUUACCGAUCCGUGAACCCCUAUUCCUCUACACCCCUAUUCCUCUCCGUGUAGUAAAUCUCUAUUCUUUUUCACUAUGCCUAUGUUCUUUAGUGCAACAACGUCUGCCCUAUCUUUGUCCUUUAAUCAGGUGUGCAGCCUAUGUUCUUUAGUGCAACGUCUGCCCCCUCUGUCCUUUAAUCAGGUGUCUUGCCUCUGCCUCAAAGUCCUGAGGAAGCAGUGUUGUUACUCAAUUCGUGAAGAAAGCAAUGCCCCGUGUUCUUUAAUCUCUUCUAUCAUAUGUUGGAUAUAGAUAUUAUUUUCCGUAUUGGCAAAAGAACAAGCAAGCAAUGUUUUCGCUUAAGUUAGUUUCGCUGUUUGGAAGGAAGGAGGUUACUCUCUUAUGGAAGUAGUGGUGACUUACAUGACUAUUGAAUUGGCAUAGAUUUCGGAGAUGAGAUCCUAUAUAGAAAUCCUUAUAAUGUAUUAUAGAGAUAGAGCAGUCAAACAAAGACACAGGAGAAUAAGAAUAACAGACUCGCGAAGGUAUGUAUGUAGACCUUUAAUCCAGACGAUAGGGGUAGCAAAUUAGAGAGAUUAGCUAGGAGCAACUUUCACCCAUGCUAAACUACUUGAAAUCCCCCUUCUUCAGCCUUAACCAAACAAGAAGCAAGGGAUACUUUAAAGGAAUCAAAGAAUAAUAUGGGAAUUGAAACCCAUCUUCUAUAAUAGAUAGAUUGGUAAGCAUAAUAUAUAGAUUAGUAAGUCAUUUCAUAUACUCUACAUAACAUAAGUAAUUAAGCAAAGCAGACUCUACAUAAGUGAUGAAACCUAAGAGGAGAAUAAAUGACUGGACUGGGGAAGAUAUAUCCUUGUGGAGAGCUACUUCCCUCAGACAUUCAGCAACAACCUAGACUUUACUAGCCUAGCUACCUUGCUUAAAGGAUCGGAACCUCCCAAACACUGCUUACAACUUAUUGAUGAAACAUGGUGACCUUGACGGGGCUCUGUAUACACAUAUGUUAAAAGAAGAGAGGAACCAUAAGUUUACUGUACAAAACCAUGAAGAAUGCUUUGGUGCAAAUAAGAGGUCAGCUGCCUAAUCACUCGCUAACGCGCCUGUAUCCUCAUACUCACUGACACUAAACUUCAAUGCUUGUACCCCGCCCCGGACUAACGCCCAAUCAAAUUAGGACUUGCUUUGCCAAAGACAUAAAGUGAGCGAUUUCUCCAAAGGGUAAUGUUGCUCCAAUACCUAACCAAAGGGCUACAGCGGUUCUUAACUUCAAGAAUAGGUUGGCAAAAGAGAAGCUCAUAUAGGAAAAGGAGAAGCUCAUAGAGUUUUGUAUAGAACUAAGUGAAGUAACCAACUAUAGCAUUCAAGUCAGGAACAGGAUAAGAAGUCGUGUAGUAUCUCGGUGUUGGCGAUGAGAGAAUGAGAGGUGUGGUUGGCAAUUCAUGAAGUUACGCUAAGUAAGAAACAAGUAACGCAAGGGAGGAUCCCAGUGGUAGAGAACAGAACCAUCGCUCCGGUAAGAUGUUAUUUAUACAAAAAUAUGCAUUUCAAACAAGGGCCCACGUAGAAGUGUUUAUAAGGGUUAGUUAACAGGCGUGAAACGCGGCUCAGGUCUCAGUGUUUGGAGUGAGAGUUCAAGCAAGAUUAAGGUCACAGAAUCAAUGACUUUCGAGUUGCUAAAACAGGACUUGCAUCUUGCCACCGUUGUUGGAACUCUAUCACUGGUUCUUGCGCUGGUGCUUGUUAGACUUGCAUCUUGUUCUGUUGUUUCAUGUUAUGUUCCAAAGCAGCUUACUAAUGCCGUAGCUACACUUGCUUACAGAGUUUACCACGAUAGAUUAAUUUCUUCAACAAUUACUGGAUGAUAUGCUUGUUAUCAGAGAUCCAAUCUUACUUAUCAAAUCUCUACGAAGACGGACGAAAUCAGAGAAAAGGAGAAAGAGAGGCAGUUGUUACAUUCGUUGGCCCGGAACUAGGUAAAGCUCUAUAAUUGUAAGCGCAGGAAGCACAAAGAAGGCUCGUGUAAGCUUGGGUUAGCUAGAAGUUAUGUAACGAGGCCCUGAUCGCUUACCGUGUGAGCGCCCGGGAGAAAUGGGUCGGGUGAACCCUAGCCUAACCAAAUGGCUAUUUGAGGGGUGUGCAAGGAAGUAUUUAAGUAAGUUCCUCGAGCUACUAACAAGUCCGUCCUAUAAAGAAGGGGUCAGAACAAGAAGGGUCGGUAGUUAGCAGCGCAGCAACCAAUCCACCUAAGGGAAUCAAUCAAUCCCAGAGCCUCGGUGAUUCGCGACGAAGAUAAUAUUGGAUCAUGCGCACCAACCCAAGGGAUUCUAGCAGCUAAGUGGAUCGAGCCAUUACUUUGAUGCUCUACCCACUAGCCCUAAACAACGGCCAAGUUUCACUGGGACUCAAGAGGGUGCAUGAAGCAGCUCCGGAUGACUUAGCUCGAGAAAUCCAAUUUGAAAGAAAGGGGAGCUGGACUCCCCGAACAUUAUAAGAAAGAUUUCACCGGCCUUCUUCUUUUUUACCAAAUCCAAUCCAGUCCUAUCGCAGUUCGUUGGGAAAGAAACGAUUUAUUAGCUAUCCUCCUGACCUGAGGCGAAUCGACCCGGAUGGGAUGGAAACUCGCCUAUAAGCGGGAGUGCUCACUAUCAAGUCUUGAUUGAUCGAGACAAAGCCAAAGAUAUGGUGGUACUCAACUCUAGGGAGCUACUGGCUAUGUGGGAGAAAUAUGACAUCCUGCUUGGGGAGCCAGGUGCCAAAGGCUUUGUUCGGUAUGGAAGAGGCAACUGCUUUGUACGUUUAUUGUGAACUCGCCGGCAAAGCAAGGUACUCGUAAGGUCGCUGCGUCUACUCGAUCGAACAGGCUGAGGAAAAUCCAAAUAACUCACCAAGGUGAUAGGAAUGAAUGCUCUUUCAAGGUGAUAGGAAUGAAUGCUCUUUAGAAACGGAUGGUGUUUGAUCCUUUCUUUUAUGAUCUAUGGGGGCUCUAUAUUCUGUAAAGUGCUCCAAUCCAAUACAAGGCGCAUGCAUUGCUGCAGCAACAAGGAAAAAAACGAACCGUGCUAUAAUCUUAGCAACUGGGCUAUACCUACUAAUUAUGACCUAUUCCAUGCAUUCGUCGCAUAAAAAAGUGCUUCAAGUGGAUCGAGUCAGUCGAAGUCAUCAUAAGCAGUACAACCAUCUUGGUAAAGUGGAUUUCUAGAGUUAUUUAUAUAUAGUUGUAUUUCUCAAGUGGGUGAGGCGAAGAACUCUAACAGCUCCCUUAACUUGACUAUGGCUAAAGUGAGUUUAGUAAGUAAUAGUGGAUUUUUGAGUAACGGAAUGAGGUUCCAUUUAUUAACUCAUAUGUCAAUCAUAUUCCAUAAGUUCAUUUGCAUAUAUUGUGCUUUUCUUUGCUUUUCUUAGUAGAGUUCAACUCGCAUAAGGAGUUUGCCAGCUUUCUGUUAGCGCAAACAAGGAUUCUAGUCCAAAUGAAUUAUUAGGCUCUUAGAAUGCCCUUUUAUACUAUCAUCUUCAUUCAGCAGUAGGUAGAGAUCGAGAUGAGCAUUCGGCUUCACAGGAAACUUUGACAUUGCAAGUGGUAAGGAGUGAAAAGUAUAGUCUCUUUCAGUGCUUGUGUUGUCUCCGAGAAAAGAUGCUGUGCUAAAGUCAGCUGCAAGAUAUGCAAGAUAUGUGGAAGGAACUUUAAGUCAGCUCCUGGGUUUUGGUUCAAGUUCAAGUCCUGUGUUCGGGAGCGGGCAAGUUAGAGACAGAAGAGAACGUCUUAGAAUUGAAUUAGGAGUUUCGGUUUGGUAGCUCGGGGUGUAAUAAUGGGAUAAGUAGCCACUGGACUUAGAGCAAGGAAAGUCGAAGAAAGUAUGGUUUGUUUCAGAAGACUAACAAGCGAGCAUAGGAGUUAUAGAAGAAUCAAGAGCAUAGGAAAUUGAGUUCAGCUUGGAACCUACAGAUGGUAUGCCAUAGAAAUCUAAUAAGAAAAAGAGAAGAUACUGUAUACGUGAUCAAAAGAGCAUAGGAAAGAGUAAUGCAUUGGUUGAAUUCCCUGAUGCACAAACUCGGUCUUAUCCGUUGGGGGUUGGUAGUAAGUAUUGUUUACGCUAGUUGGAUUCCGCGUUCUUAUUGAUGAUUCUAUUUACUUAUAUGGAUAUGCGUGUUUUCAUAUGAUAUUUGCUAUUAGUUCUCUUAUAGUAAUUCCAGUAGUUUGCUAUUAGCAGUUCCUAUUAGCAGAGAUUCUAUUCCUGUAUACGAUAUAUCUCAUUAAUAGAAGACCCCCCAUUGAAUAAGAAAAAGAGUACGGGUAGGUACUUUUUUUGAGGCUUUCUCUAUUGUAUUAGACUUUAUGUUAGUUGUAGUGGAUUUCUGACUUAAUAGAGCGGAUUAGCUCACUAGGACCAAAGCCUUGUGGUCGGUAGGCUUUCAGCACCCUUACCCUUACCCCUUAUCUUAUUGGAUUGGUUGUUCCUAAGCUUGUUCCUCGAAGGUCAGAAUGUAAUGCCUAUAUGGUAUCCACUGGAAUGGCAGUUCAUAUUACUAGCAUCUGAUCUCUAAGAUUCAACUCAUUCAAAACCACUUGCAGCAGACUACUUUCUCACUGCUCCAGCUCCUUCUUAUGGUUCUCGUACACUUGAAGAAUCGAUUGUUGCUUCAUCUGGGCAUUCUGCUUCCUUACCUGAUCCAGCAUCCAAUCUUGAAACAGCGGAUUCUCGAACUACGGAUUCUCUCUAUUCAUAUCUUGUUCCCUAUUCUUAUCUUAUUCCCUAUUCUUCUCAAGUUGCUACUCCUAGGGCUUGCACUUACUCUUUCUCGUCUUUAAAGCUAUGGGAAACUAAUCCAAUAUGGGAAGGUGCUAAGAGCCUAUCUUGCACGUGUAACGGCGGAAAGCGAACGGAACUCAACGCCGCCAGACUUCUAUAUGCGCGCGUCUCAACGGAUUAUGAAGUCAACAGCUUCUGAACGAAACUUAUUGUAUGCUUCCUGAAGUCCACUUCUUGUCCGUGCUUCUAAAGUGCCUUUAUAUGCGUCAACUGAUUGCCAUUUGCUUAUUAUGGCAGUGUUUGAUUACUUCCUUCUUUAUAUGUUGAGUUUGUUUUCUUGCAUAACACAGGUUCAUUGCUACUAUAUGUUGAGUUUGUUUUCUUGCAUAACACAGGUUCAUUGCUACAUGGAAUUUCACCUCUCGAGCACAUAGUAUAGAAAAAAGUAAGUAUACUGCUAAACCGGAUUUAGAGGCGGGCUCAACACAAUCACCUACUGGAACUUACGCUUCAACACCCAAUUCUGCUUAUGCAUCAGAUUCUCUUUAAACAAAGUAUGGGCCUGAUCCUGCUGUAGCUCUUAAUAGUAUAGUAUGGUUUCAAGUUUGCUUAUGUUCCUUUUAUAUAGUAGCCCACGGAGCGGUAUCUUCUAGCUUUAGGAGAGUCUCUCUCUCUUUCAGUUCUUGUGUUGUCGUAGUAUAGAAUCAGAAUGCUUAGCCCUCCUACCUCACCUAUUUAUUACUAUCUUAGCCUACCUAUCUUCUUUAUUACUAUUUCCAUAUAGAUCCUCCCCCCUCAAUUACUAUUCUUUUAUUCUUUAUCAUACUCCCGCAUCCUCUCCUUGAACUCAAAGAUAUUAAUUCCGCUAAGUUAGUAAGGAGAACAAGUAAGGGAAUAAACUGGGGAUUCUGAAAUAGAGAAACUACUCGACUCGGUAUUGACAGUAAACCCUUCUUUUUAGUACAAUACGGGUAACUACAAGUACGAGUCCAAAAUUCCAUUGCUUUAGCUGGGGCUGAUAGAAACAAGUACAUAGGAAGGAGCCAGGGAUGAUACAAACUAGUAACAAACCAUGUGCUUACACACUUAUUUAAGAAUGGAGUUGACUACUAUAAUCAUUGAAUUGACUACCUAUUAGACUUCACCUCUUAAUUACCAGCUUAGCUUCUUCUUUAGCCUCCUUAGAUCAAGCAUCUGAUCUCGUAUACCUUCCUCGCACAGCAAGUAUAUGACUUUCGAACUGGAACACUUGAUUUAGAGUAUUAGGACAAUCACCUCUCUCAGCGCCAAAGGACAAUAAACUCUCUCAGCGCCAACACACGCACCAAAAAACACAAUCCUUGAAGACGAAACGAGCUCUCAUACAGAGGAGUUCUCUUUCUCUCAAUACGGAAAGUGAGAAUGAAACUAAUAAGUAAGUAUCCGCCGAAGCAACAGAAUCCGUUGAAAGAUCCGUAGUAGGAACAUGCGAGGCAAGAGAUGGCAAUAACUCUUACAGUACUACCGGUGGAAUCCCUUGUUUCAUCUUCGAACAUGCCUUAAAGGAUGCAAAAAGGGGCCGGGUAUGUUUGAGUUUCAUCCUAGUCUUAGAGAGAAAAAGCAGUGUGAGUGUCAUCACCACCACUUGCAACUUUACCGACGCUGUAAAGAGCAUUCCCAUUUCAUAAUUCAACAAGUAAGUAAGAGACUCAAUUCUAUCUUAUCUAUCCUUAUAUAGAAUGCCGAUCACACCUAAAAUAAACAAGCUAGUUCUUGCUAGGCAUAUCUAUGAAAUUAGGAUACAGGUACUGGCUGCUAUACUAGCGACUCUCCUAUCAAUCUGGUUACCAGUAACAUGCUAAAAGCAAGCUUACUUUGACUGGAUUCUGUCUACUAGCUUCUAUUAGAAUGGGCGACUUGCCUGGCACUGUAUCCAAUCUGUUACCUGACAGGCAGCUUAUUGAUUGUUUCCUGUCCGCUUCCCCAUCCCAAGCAUAGACCUGCUCUGUCACUUGUCACUCUAUCUUCUCGGAAACUGCACAGGAUAAGCUAUGGGAUCUAUUGCAAGCUAGGCUACCUUUUGCAAUUGGAAAGGGACCAGUUAUAUGUCGAUUGGCAAGCUAGGUUAAGGUAGCGAGCAAGAAACAAGCCAUGCCUAAACGUAGUGGUUGCCUGCUAUUUGCCUAGUGUUAGCUGCCCGCCCUAUCGGAUAAGAACGUUCCCACUUUUGGAGCGGACUACUCGUUUGGAUGACCUGAGGCAUCAGGAUAGCACUCUGCCAGCAGGGUUCGGGAACUCUGACUAUCUCCAUCCUUGGAUGCCGCGAUAAGUUCAACAGGCAAGGCCGGCUUUGCUUCAGAUGUAGUGGAUCGGUAUUCUGCUAUUCUCUAUCGCUUGAUACCAGACAUAGAGCCCUAUCUCUAUCAACCCAACAGUCUCACCUUUCUUUCACAUCACAGCUAUAAACUCUCCUUUCUUGUCUGGACAGUCAAUCAUUUUUCGACGCUAGGCUUUAGUCAUCCCCCAAGCGUAUACUAUACAAGUGGAACUCCUAACUCAGGUACCAGUGUACAAAUUGCAAGACAUCUUAGAUGCUAAAGAGAGUGCAGAGAGUGACAAAACGAGUAGGCGAGAGGGGCAGGUACAGAGCCAAAGGCCGGGAGAAACUCUAUUAUGUGGCAGUUACGAAGCCAAAGGCCAGGGACAAAGGCUCUUUAGUCUGAAUAUACGAAACGAAGCCUAACCGUAGUUGUGUAGGAGCUAAUCGACCUCAACUCCUUUCUAUUUAUGAAUACUCGAAAGAAUGGAUUUCUCCUUUAUAGAUUACAAACAAACUGAUCUGAAGCUAUUGUGUAACUCAUAAGAAUGGAAUUCCAUACAAAGGACAGGUCCGUGGGAAGUGACCUUAUAACAGGAAUCGUCUAUUUGCCCCUCUAUGUUCGAUGUCCGAGCGGGCGCAUAACAUGACAUGGCAGGAAAGCAAGAUGUGUUAAUCGUCUCUACGGUCCUUGUACCUGUUCCGAGGGUCGUUUACUGCUUUUCGUCUUGGACUCUUUGAUCUUUUCUUCUUAUUUGGAUUGGUUACUUGCUUGUUAUAGAAUCAUUCCACUUCCUUUCUUUUCCUAGUUAACCCCCUAAAAAAGAAAAGAGUGACUGGAAAUUGAGGAGACUAGUACCGAUGGAGUACAAGAUAUCUAGGCCUGUUCGUAACGUUUGCUUUCUUAAUAGAGAGGGGGAUUGACUGCCUUUUUCUUUUCAAACGCGGAUCAGGUGUUCAAUACAAUACAUACAGAUGGAAGUAUGGGGAAAGGAAUUCUCUCCAAGGCUGUAGCAAGCCAGAUUCCAGACAGUAGGGAGCCAUCAAGUGAAGUACUAUCUUAGACUUAUAAAGGUGGAGCCGAAAGCAAGCCAUCGAGCCUAAAAAGCCGCAGCCAAAGGGAUUACCGAGUCGAAUGAGAUGUACCGAUUGGAAUCCUUAAGAAAUGCUUAUGGAGUAGAAAGACCACGAGUAUUGACUUAUAGGAUGGAAAGGAGUAUAAUAGGCAGCUUUAACAAAGCAGCAAAGGCAGAAAGAAAGCAUUGACCCUUCACUAACAAGAAAGGCGAAGGACAAUCUGGACUUCCUUAUUGAGCUGGUACAACAAAUAGAGGCGCGUAGCGGCAUUUCCGCUUAUGCUCUAGAAAUACAGAAAGCAAAAGAAAAAAACAACCGAAUGAACAAAUUCAGAAGAUGGCUUCUUGUUCACGAAUGCCCUGUGAAAAGGAAUUAUUUAAUCAGAAGCAUCGAAUGCAAGCAGUGAGGAAGACUAAUUCUCUCUUAUGAAACUAGAAUGAAAUGCAAAUUAGUCCCACACUUACCACAGGAAGGUACGCAAGCACAUUUAUGGAAUCAGAAAAAGCGAAAUAUUGACAUUCUGCACCUGUGAUCCUACUCUCUUUAUGUAUUAAGCAACCGAUCUCACGACGAUGAGUCACCCCCUCCACGGGCAAUCAUUUCCUAUUAUUUGAUUCGUCAGUGUCCAGACGACCUUUUCUUUUGUUUUGAUGCGGGGUAAGGAUUCGUUCCUACAUCUCCUGAAGUCUACUGACCAGACCUUAUUAAGUAAGAGGUAAGUAAUAGGAUGGCAUUACUGUAACUCAAGUGAAGGUAGGUUAGGGAGUUACUUCUUUGACUCUUAUCUAGUAUCGGGUAAAUGCCUAUGCGCUAUUACGCUAUCCGUCUGAUCUUAUAAUCGAUAAAGUGGAAAGAGCUUUCCUUCGCUUCUAAGUCUAUCUCUUAGUACUUUUGUUACAUCCCUUGGGGAGUUCUUCUACCUUACCCUUAUAAUUCUAACGUUUCAAAUAAAUCAUAGAUGUUUUCACCGUUGAGUCAUAAGAGGGACGUUCGAAAGUAAUCAGUGAAGUCUUAGAGAUCCGUAUCUUCAGCCAAAUCCUUAUAUGUAUCUUCUGCUGUUGCCAGUUCCAUUUCCAUUCUAGUUUGCCUGUGACAUUCUAUUAUCCUUAUCUAUAUAACAUGCACAAGAGAGAAUAUGGAAUCAGAUCUUCUGCGCUCAACUCUCAAGUUCCAUUCCUUAUUUCUUGCACCAGAUAUAUAUGCGAGUCAAAACUACCACAUUGCAUUCCAAUAACUGUCAUUAGCCAUUUGAUGAGUUUACCCUUGCCUUAUCUUUCGUAAAUGUAUACGUGCGGAUGCAAAGUCUCGUCUCUCAUAGCUACAUGGAGAUCGAGCUUGGAGGCCAGGCCAGUCUAGCAGGUGAUUUGAUCGGGCGCUCACGGAGGCAGCGAAGGGUAAUCGGUUCUACUUUAAACGGGGACGAUCCUCCCAAUGGUGAUCAUAUGGUACUCUAUGUAGGAGAUAUUAUGAAAGAUCUCAUAAGGAUAACUUCUAUACUGCCUGUUCCAUUUGGGAAGAUGGAGAAAGAAGAGAUCUUUUCUCAACCCCCAAAAGAGGUCGUUAAUGCAGGAAAGCGGGAACGCAUGGAAGGCUACUGAGAUAGCUAUCAGGUUCUAUCUCCACGGAGACGGGAGGUUCCUCCCUCUGAGAAAGCUGCUCGAAGUCAUAAUCUCUUUCUUCGUCUCUUCUCCAGAGAGAGGAUUAUCUAACUCCCCAAGAAGUCAUGCUGAGAAGGCGGUCGGUCAUACAAAGAGCCUUUCUCUCAGUACCCACACCACUAUUAAGACAAAUAGCCCGGUGUUGAACUCAGAUAAAGUCAAAGUGCUUUCCUUCACGCUGAGUGUGAACUGGAGAUUGAAGGCUGCUCAGAAGAUUGAUUCUAGAAGUCCGGUUUAUGAGCAUGCAAGCAACCUUGGCGAAGUUAUGGUUAUGAAAGAAUUGGAUCCAUCUAGUAGCGAACCAGCUUCAAAGCGCUUCCUCGAAUCGAAGGCGAAGUAAGCGCAGUUUCUUCUAAAAUGGCUCGGUAGGCUAGCCAGCAACUUGAGAGUUGUUUCUCACACAUAGAAGUCUAUGUCCAAGGCAGGGCCGAAUGGGCCAGGAUAGAAAGCUAGGUCCUUCGCGGUCAAAGAAAGUCUUCGUUGUUUGCCCUAUUCAACGGGGAUAUUCUAAAAGCAAGUAUGGAAUAUUUCAAUAUUACGGAGCCAAAUCAAUAUAGGGGGGCUUUCUUUGUAUGGAACAAUGUCAUUGUAUAGGAAGUGAACAAGUAGUCCCGUCCGGAAUGAUCUCUUUGGGGCUAAACAAGGAUAUGUAGUAGAAUAUCCGACAGGUAAAGUCUAGUAGGGGCUUCAAUACGGAAUAGGAAGGGAAUGAAAGUAAGCUAGACCAUUAGGGAGAGGAAAGAGACGAUCUGAUCUCUUUCUUUAUCAUUUCGUUCUGGAAAUAUGCUUCAUUCAUGGCUUGAAGAAAAGAAACUGACAUUGACCACCCUAGUGAAAGUCUUAGCAUUAAAUAGAAAAGGAAUGGAAGGCUAACGCUGCUAAGCUAAAACAAGUGGGUAAGGAAGCGCUCUUCACCGCAUGCCCUAAAAAAGAAAAGAAGCGACAUGCCCCCCUUAAUGACACGCUUGGGAAGCUCCCCUAUACCACGCUAACGAAAGCAACCAUUAUGAUUUCUUCUUUUCUAUAUCUCCUAGUAGAUGUGAUUUGAAGUCGGAAGAGGGUUUCUGAGGAACCGGGUGCCGUAAAUCGGAUCCAUCAUCUGGUGAAGGAACACAGUCAAUGCGCCGAUCAAAGAUAACAUCACAACUCUCUUUCUUUGAUAACAUCACAACUCUCUUUCUUUGAUAACAUCACAACUCUCUUUCUUUCUGGGCAUGAUCAAACUCAUUCUCUUUUUGAAGCGGUCCCCCAAGGCUUUUGGGCCGGUAGGGAGGGUUUCAAUUCUCAGAGAUAUGCCAAUAUAGGAUCCCUUGGGAAUGCUCUUCUAAUGGAAUAAGGUAGCUAACCAUGUACAGUUACUUGUUUGCUCUUCACUUCCAUUCCAUUCUUGACUGUUGGAGUGGAAUUAUAAGAUAGGUAAUUCAGAUGACACAGAGUAAAGAAGCAGUGUGAGCGAGUGCGUGUUUGUGUUGCUGCAAGCAGGUCCGAAAGAGGAGAGUCCUGAGUGAGUUUUGAAGCCAAGGAAGAAAGAAAGUGCAAAAAGUCAGCGCGGAUAUGAAAGUGAAGUUGUCGACGAGCCAGAUUACCCAUAUAUAAAUAUGAAGCGGAGAGGUUUCAAGGUGAAGCAUAAGAAUAAGCUAAGGGAGCCCGAGUAUAGAAUCAAUCAAUUGUAAUCAGAGUAAGAGAAAGGUGCAAUUCCGGUUUGACUUUACUGCUUGGCUUUCAUUCUUUGUUGAGUUACGCUUACGGAGUUGUUAAGUGAUCCGCUCAAUUCCUCUUCUCUUUUAUGGAACAUGCUCCUAAGUGGUGAAAUAUGGAAAUUCAGUGGUGAGCUGCUCGCAAGCAUCAUUUGCCUUGAACUUGGAUUCUCACUCUAACGCCGAGAAAACUGGAAUGGAAUACAUCUCUGACUCUUAUUACCCUGAUCCAUACAAUGCUGGAACUAUAGUCAACUCAUGAACUUCCUUUACACGCGAGUCUUAUCAACGGUCUCACAUCAUCCGCUCAAAGAAAGAGGUGUGAAAGGGGUGUCGAGAGAGAUAGAGAAUAACUCUCAUUGAUAACUACUGACGCUGAGAUACAAUGAGCUCGGAAUGGUUUCAAGGAUGAUACUCUCGGUAUUAGAGUUCGGGUACAGAGAGAGGAGAGCGAAAGGUUAUUGAGAUGUGUUAGGAAAGAUGUGGGUUCAGAUGAAGAAUGUGGAAUGAUAAUAGAAAUACGAUUCCAUGCUCAUCUAAAACUACUGAAUGAGGUUAAGGCGCGCCAAGCAGACGCCAAGUAACAAUUAACGACCAAGCAUGAGUUUCUGGGCCAGUGGAAUAUGAGAUUUUCUAUACGAAACGGGAAGUGAAGCUGACCCCAACACUGGAGCUGUUGAUUCUACUGCAACACUCGAUGCAACUCUAUUGAUUGACUUAUCGCUUGCUGCUCGGGAAAGCCAAUAACUAACCCAUCUCUACCCUUACCAUAAAGCAAGCCCUGAAUUGAAACUCUACGUAAACAUCUUGUCCCGCUCUAGCUCAAAGAAAAAGCAACGGAACAAGAAGUAAGCUAUCACACAAGGAAGGUAGGCUUAUCAGAAUGAUGCAGCUAAAUGCGCCCCAAGAGAACUCACGUAAGCACAAUGGCUAACACACCCUGCGUAGCCGCUUCCCUUGCUUUGCUUGUUCCGCUGCGAAGAUGGUGCUUCACCUAUGCUUGUUGAAGAUGGUGCACAACUGAGAGAAAGUCAGAAAACCAAUGACUACUUGUGCGAGUGUUGUCGACUCAAAAGAAGCAGUGCCUUUGCCCAGAUGAAGCAGUUAUCUUUACUUAUAUCUUUAUACCAGUGCUCAAUAAGAGGGAUAUGAUGGCUUUAAGCCUAGAAUAAAUAGUACUGUGAUUCGUCGUGGCUUUGAUGCCCUAACGGAUGGUGUAUAAUGCCCUGUUCCAGUUGAUUGUGUUGUCGACGAACGGUUCUUCAAGUCUUGUUCGUAUAGCCCAUGUCGCGAUUAAGUUUCAAGUGAGCUGCAAUUCCAGUUAUUGUUUCAUCCCGGCGGUAUUUGUUGUCGUUGUCGGUGAAGAAAUCUCUGUUUAAAAGUAAUCGAGAAAUGAAAUAGAGAAUUGAAGAUUGGAAAUGGAAUGCAAGCGAGGUUGACCUUCUCUUCUCACUGGUCCAACCCUAGAGAUCGAAUACCAGACUGCCCACGCAUGGCCUCACAGCUUGUUGAAGUAAAGCUUCUAACGCGAGUGGAAUCGUUAAUUGAAUGCGAAGGAUAAAGUCAGAGGUCCGAUUGAAAAGAAAGGGAAGGCGUUUGUGUCCUUACUAGGUUUCUAUACCACAGCCCGCUAACGGAGCCCUACUAUACUAUGGGAAGUGGUUUGUUUCUUUACUGGGUUUCUAUACCACAGCCCGCUAACGGAGCCCUACUAUACUCAUGGAUUGUUAAUCUCAUGUAGAAUAAUAAACAACAUAUAGUACAUUUGUGAUUUGUUAUUACAAUACCUGUGAACUUGAUAUAUAAGGGUCGCGGCAGGUUAGCUAGUCAAUUGGAUUCCACUUGAACUGGCACUUGACCUGGACCGGAUUGGGUACUCAAUCUAGCACUCCCGUGGCAUUCCCCUUGGGCUAUUCUCUUAUGAAAUCAUUAUGGCAGACCUAGCCCAUGACUCUGGUUCUUACCAUAGUUGCUUGUCGAUUUGACUUCUGCUUACGGAGUUUACACGCUAACACUAAUAUUUGUUGGAGUGACUUCUUUGUCUGCGAGAGAAGUAGUGACUUUACCCUUCCGUUCAAUUCGAACUCAGCUGCUACUGAUGGGAGUACGCUACUGCAAGCAGAAAACAACUCGGAACUCGCAAUUGAACCGCCGAUAACAAGGCUGCCGCGCUGACAUCUAAAUAGGAAAUGACACUAGAUCGGGCCUACUACCUUGACUCUAACUAUGAAACUGCUUACCCUUAUUCUUGAGACCAAUACUAGCAGGACUUUCACUACUAUUUACAAUAAUCGCUAGGGGCAUAGAAGAAUGCAAUUGCAAAUAUACAAUAUAGAACUAAGUAAACCAACCCAUACAACUCUUAUAUUACAACGAGAAGGAGCUACAGCGGGAAUAGAACUAAGUAAACCAACCCAUACAACUCUUAUAUUACAGGGAGAAGGCUUAUCUUAUAUUACAAGGAGAAGGAGCUACAGCGGGACAAUCAGUUGACGACAAUAGGCUUGGACAAGAAGUUCCAUAUCUAGCCCAGUACAGAGGUUUGUCUUCACUUAAGGAGUUCCUGUUCCUAAACAAUACUACCCUUAACAUAAAGUAAGCCAAUCAUGCAAAGGGGAAAUAAACACUAAAGGACACAGGAUAGUCAGAAUUGGAUAAGGGAGUGGCAUAGUAGUAACUUGUCUGGUCUUGUGAGCACACUAGUUGGUUUCUUUAUUGUAAGAAGGGUCUUAAAAGCACUCAAUACAGAAUGCAACUAGCGCUUCUAAUACAACAACUAUCACAUAGAAAUAAGGAAUAGCAAAUACAGAAUUCACUGAUGGUACCCGAGCCUAACUUAUUUAAGUAUCUUUGCUUGUUUUAAGCAUUUAUCGCCUAACCAAUACUAAUACCGCUAGUGGGGGAAUGAAAUGCAUUUUCGUCUUCCUUUUGUUUCCAGUGUUCUAUAUGCUGACACUAGUAUUAUAUUGAUUUGAUCUACUUCGCCCAACAAGCAUUAGUGAGUCAAGUGAGUUCAGCAGUCAUUAGUGAGUCAAGUGAGUUCAGCAGUUCAAUUUCAUGUAAGCCUACUUACUGGCACAUUAUGUAACAUUCGCUUUUCUUUCCUAUAGCCGUAAUCGACUCGAUGCUUCCAGAUAGGAUGAUACUGAUUCACUUACCUGCCGAGAUCGUAUUGUUCUCUUGGCUACCUACCUCGACUUUAGACUUGGACAUGAUCUGAGGCUUCUUUUCUUGGUACUAAACUUGAUACUUGCCUUCGAGCAGAAAGUAUUUCCACUCCAGUUUCUACAUCAAUUUCUUCCUUUACUCAUUCACUUAGCGCUUCCGUAUUAUGAAGUUGGGCCAUAGCCAUAAGAGUAAGAGUACACCACGCUACUAUUCCUUGUAAGAUAUUCUUCCGCAAGAACUACACAAGUCCUGGGUCCGGGCAAAAGGGAAGCUGUGUUAGGUGGAAAAAUCAUCAAUGUAUUCGGAAGAGCGCGCCAAGUCCUUUUGAAUAGGUCCAAUUUGAGGAGCCCCACUGGGGUUUUCAUAGUUCCUUUUGCUAUCUUUUUUGUUUCCCAUGGCUUCCACUACAGGAAAUCCGGGUGUUUUGCCUUACUUAGAUAAUUGCCCAACUUAACUGGAUCAUGCGCGCACUGAUACACUUUAGUAUAGUAUCCUCAAAAGCAAGGGUGAGCUCCGUUAGCGCCCCAAGAUAAGGAUAUGGAUAAGACGGCUUGAAUAGGAUCUGGAUUAGCUGCGUUACGAGGAACUUCAAGCCAACCAGAUGAAAAGGAAAGGUUGGUGCGGUUCUGGGUUUGUUAGUUCCUAAAGUCAGAGGUCAGUAGCAAGCGUCAAGUAUAAUGAUUUAGUUGGCGAGACCCGAGAGAGAGGUUCUGCUCUGGCCGGCGUAACCAACAAGUGGUUCUGCAAAUGGAGUUAUUGUGCGAGUACUAAGUAUAGAAUGUGCCUUUCUCAUAAUCUUCAGUAAUAGAAUCCGUAGGAAAGAAAGAUGGGUGGUAUAAAGCUUUAACCGAUAGAGAAGUAUCAAGACAAGAAUCCGUUCGCGCUGUAGGAUAAGAUCUAACUAGGAAAGUCAGCUAGGCAUCCCUAAACCCGGAAAGUCAGCUAUACCUUACCACGCAACAACAAAAACCAGUGUUAGCGCCCCAGAACGAACCUUUCCUUUGCCCACCUCUUAUCUUGAAACAAUAACUCCCUUUUCCUUUGCCCACCUCUUAUCUGAGUGCCCGACCUCGACUUGCAGACGAAAACUACACUUUGUAACUUGCCUUAGCAUAACGUCUUGUUGGGCCGAGUAAAACAGUAUCAUGGAAUAUCUCUGGAGCGCAUGUCAUAAAAGAGAGGAAUUGAGGAGCAUUGCCAACUUUAUCCGUAAGCCGAGUUUUCUCCACUUGCUGCUUCCUUGAGAUGGGAUUAUGACCCGAACCUUGCUUUCCUUUACUUUAUUUCUUACCAGCUGACUAGAGCCUCUGUUCCUUCUUAAGAUCUUGAUGAAACAUCUUCUCUGGCUUAUUACCCUGCGGAAGAUCUAGUUCCUACUCUUGAUCCUGUAUACAGUAUCUUAUUGAGUUCCCACUCCUUAUAUAACUUAUGCAUCCAUCUUCUUGGCGCAACAGUACUAGUUUGUUGUUCCAUAGCGUUUCCAUUCUCUUAGUUCUGAUUCUUGGUAAAGGCAAUACAGUACGGAAGUUAUGUUACCAACGGAUGAGCAUGGAAGGAAUAUGAUUAUUGGGCUUGCUUUGAAUUGAUAAGGAGAAAUCGCUAGUCUCUCGCACUGGCGCACUGGAGUUUGCAAAAGGCUUCAUGUGUAAGUAGCAGCUUGGCAGUCUGGCUUUCUCCUUGCGUGGAACAGAGUUGAUAGUAGAAUUCUGUGUUUCAUCUGUAUUUGUAGCAGUAGCAUCUGUCUUAGUAGCAAUAGGAGAGUUUAGUUCGGAUGUUCUAGAGUGUUGAGCAAGUCCGUAUUCAGCUAGCGCAUUCAAGUAUUUAAUAGAACUCAAUCGGAUAAGAAAGAAGGAUGGAUCUAGCACAUUACUACUAAGAGCGGGAGAGACAGAGUCGAGGGAAUAGAAGCAAUGCGAGUUAGGUCUACUGACCCCUUAUUGAAAGUACUAAAGAGGAGAGG